UUACAUUUUGAUCUUCUUCUAGAGAACCGCUGAAUGGAAUGAAACCAAAAAUGGCACGAGUGUUCCUUAUGAGGUGCUCACCAAGUGUUGUUACUUUGUAGUCGAUCCAUCAUCCAAGAUGGCCGCCAGCGGGGGACUUAGUUUAACAUAGGACCCUAUGAGAAAUUCAUACAAAUGACUUCUUCUAGAGAACCACUGAUUGGAAUGAAACCAAACAUGGCAUGAAUGUUCCUUAUGAGGUGCUGACCAAGUAUUGUUACUUUGUAGCCGAUCCAUCAUCCGAGAUGGCCGCCAGCGGGGGACUUAGUUUAACAUAGGACCCUGUGGGAAAUGCAUACAAAUGACUUCUUCUAGAGAACCACUGAAUGGAACGAAACCAAACAUAGCAUGAAUGUUCCUGAUGAGGUGUUGACCAAGUGUUGUUACUUUAUAGCCGAUCCAUCAUCCAAGAUGGCCGCCAGCGGGGGACUUAGUUUAACAUAGGACCCUAUGGGAAAUGCAUACACAUGACUUCUUCUAGAGAACCACUGAAUGGAAUGAAACCAAACAUGACAUGAAUGUUCCUUAUGAGGUGCUGACCAAGUGUUGUUACUUUGUAGCCGAUCCAUCAUCCAAGAUGGCCGCCAGCGGGGGACUUAGUUUAACAUAGGACUCUAUGGGAAAUUCAUACAAAUGACUUCUUUUAGAGAACCACUGAAUGGAAUG
rnacentral:lncRNA from 1 species